UAGAUGCGAGAGUAGAGCAUAUCAAUAAGCGGAGGAAAAGAAACUAACUAGGAUUCCCUCAGUAACGGCGAGUGAAGCGGGAAGAGCUCAAAUUUGAAAUCUUCAAGGUUCCACCUUGACGAAUUGUAGUUUAAAGAAGUGUUUUCUGUUGGAGUUUUGGUAAAAGUUCUUUGGAAUAGGACAUCAUAGAGGGUGAGAAUCCCGUAUUUGACCAUUAUUUCCAACUUUGUGAUACACUUUCAAAGAGUCGGAUUGUUUGGGAAUGCAGUCCAAAAUGGGUGGUAAAUUUCAUCUAAAGCUAAAUAUUGGCGAGAGACCGAUAGCGAACAAGUACCGUGAGGGAAAGAUGAAAAGAACUUUGAAAAGAGAGUUAAACAGUACGUGAAAUUGUCAAAAGGGAAGCGUUUGACACCAGUGUUGUUUUUCCGAAAAUCAAUUACGAAUGUUUUGUUUUUGAGAAGUUAUGACUUCAUCGGCUUGCUCCUUUCUUUACGAAACUUUCUUAAUGCACUUUUCGGUUAACAAGUCAACAUCAAUUUCUUUUGUUGUAAAAGGGUAUGAGGAAGGUGGCUUUCUUUUCGGAGAAAGUGUUUAUAGCCUUUGACUUCUGCAAUCGGAGAGAUUGAGGUCUGCAGCGUAGAUCCUUCGGGGUUAGAUACAUUUGUGCUAAGUUAUAGUUUUUCAUAGACAACAUGUUGACUAUGAUUAAUCAUGUAGCUUACUCGCUUAUGCUAUUUUACCUACGCUUAGGAUGUUGACGCGCGUGUGUGCGUG
rnacentral:rRNA from 1 species